GACGAACGCUGGCGGCGUGCUUAACACAUGCAAGUCGAACGGAAAGGCCCUGCUUUUGUGGGGUGCUCGAGUGGCGAACGGGUGAGUAACACGUGAGUAACCUGCCCUUGACUUUGGGAUAACUUCAGGAAACUGGGGCUAAUACCGGAUAGGAGCUCCUGCUGCAUGGUGGGGGUUGGAAAGUUUCGGCGGUUGGGGAUGGACUCGCGGCUUAUCAGCUUGUUGGUGGGGUAGUGGCUUACCAAGGCUUUGACGGGUAGCCGGCCUGAGAGGGUGACCGGCCACAUUGGGACUGAGAUACGGACCAGACGCCUACGGGAGGCAGCGGUGGGGAACAUUGCACAGUGGGCCGGAGCCUGAUGCAGCGGCGCCGCGUGCGUGAUGACGGCCUUCGGGUUGUGAACCGCUUUCGCCUGUGACGAAGCGUGAGUGACGGUAAUGAGUAAAGAAGCACCGGCUAACUACGUG
rnacentral:rRNA from 1 species